CCUACGGGAGGCAGCAGUGGGGAAUAUUGCACAAUGGGGGAAACCCUGAUGCAGCAACGCCGCGUGAGUGAUGACGGCCUUCGGGUUGUAAAGCUCUGUCUUCAGGGACGAUAAUGACGGUACCUGAGGAGGAAGCCACGGCUAACUGCGUGCCAGCAGCCGCGGUCAUACGGAGGAUGCGAGCGUUAUCCGGAUUUAUCGGGGUAAAGGGGUGCGCAGGCGGCCUGUAAAGUCAGCGGUAAAAGCCCGGGGCCCAACCCCGGCGAGCCGUUGAAACUGGCGGGCUGGAGUGGGAGAGAAGUAGGCGGAAUGCGCGGUGUAGCGGUGAAAUGCUUAGAUAUCGCGCAGAACCCCGAUUGCGAAGGCAGCGUACCGGAUCCACACUGACGCUGAGGCACGAAAGCGUGGGUAUCGAACAGGAUUAGAUACCCGGGUAGUC
rnacentral:rRNA from 1 species